rnacentral:rRNA from 1 species
AUACGGAGGAUGCAAGCGUUAUCCGGAUUUAUUGGGUUUAAAGGGUGCGUAGGCGGUUUGCUAAGCGGGAGGUGAAAUGCCGGCGCUCAACGUCGGAAGUGCCUCCCGAACUGGUGGACUUGAAUGACUCUGCCGUGGGAGGAAUGUGUAGUGUAGCGGUGAAAUGCUUAGAGAUUACACAGAACACCGAUUGCGAAGGCAUCUCACGAAGGGUUGAUUGACGCUGAGGCACGAAAGCGUGGGGAUCAAACAGGAUUAGAUACCCUGGUAGUCCACGCAGUAAACGAUGAUGGCUAACCGCUGGAUCGAUCGGUUCAGUGGCCAAGCGAAAGCGAUAAGCCAUCCACCUGGGGAGUACGACCGCAAGGUUGAAACUCAAAUGAAUUGACGGGG